rnacentral:rRNA from 1 species
AUUGAACGCUGGCGGCAGGCUUAACACAUGCAAGUCGAGCGAGCGGCGGACGGGUGAGUAAUGUCUGGGAAACUGCCUGGUGGAGGGGGAUAACUACUGGAAACGGUAGCUAAUACCGCAUAACAUCAGAUGUGCCCAGAUGGGAUGAGCUAGUAGGUGGGGUAAUGGCUCACCGAGGCGACGAUCCCUAGCUGGUCUGAGAGGAUGACCAGCCAAACGGGAACUGAGACACGGUCCAGACUCCUACGGGAGGCAGCAGUGGGGAAUAUUGCACAAGGGGCGCAAGCCUGAUGCAGCCAUGCCGCGUGUGUGAAGAAGGCCUUCGGGUUGUAAAGCACUUUCAGCGGGGAGGCGUUACUCGCAGAAGAAGCACCGGCUAACUCCGUGCCAGCAGCCGCGGUAAUAC